rnacentral:lncRNA from 1 species
UGGGUCCUAUCUCCGGCACGAAGCUCCCGCGUUUUUAGCGCUAUAGAACCAGACUAGAGGCAAUCAUACAAUUUCCUCCCCAUUAGUUUACCCACUAAAUUUUUCUAGAGCCAUGGUCAGGUGAUACCUUCUGCCCUUUAUUAUUUUUUAAUGAGGCCCUUGAAAAAUCGCCUUAUCUGUAUUUUCUUCAAUUCUUCCUUAAUCUUUAAAAGUCCCUCAGUACUAAUAUUAUGGACCAACCAAAGCUGGAGAAUCUAAAGCAAUACUGUUAUUUCACCCUCAGUUCAUUUGAAAUCUAAAAGGAAAAACAAGCUUGAAAACAACUUUUUUUUUCUAGACUAAUUAGAGAAAUCGCUUGGGAACCCUCUCUUGGGAAAACAAAAUAAGCCUGUGUCAGUAUUUACUUCCAUUUUCCCAGAGAUCUAAGUCUGGAAGGGUUGCUUUUAGAAAAAAAAAAAAAAAGUUUUUUUUUCUGUUUAUGAAGUCAGAAAGGGUCAUAUCUGGUCCUGGGAAAAAAGAGCCCCUUCCUUAUAAUAAUGAAUUUAAUCAUGCGAUUACAAUCCCUCUUUUCGGCUAGACAAGAAGCCAUUUUACUGAUUUAACUCUGUUUAAACCAGUUCAGCUGUUACCUUGAACACUCAUAGAACCUUGGCACAAACCUUCAACACAAACAUCUGUAGUUUAUCACUACAGAUGGAGAAGUCCAAAUCUCUCCACAUAACCAUAGAUGCUCAUAACAUGAUGGAGAUAGCCACAUAGCCACUUUCAGGGCUCAUUGCCACAUGGACUCACUACAGUCUUAAACAUGCUGGAGUACUUUGUUCAGUAGCUCUCUGAGCUUUUACAUUUCUUUGCAGCUAAUAACAGCCAAAAUGCAGCCAGGCAGUGGUGGCACACGCCUUUAAUCCCAGCACUUAGGAGGCAGAGGCAGGAGGAUUUCUGAGUUUGAGGCCAGCCUGGUCUACAGAGUGAGUUCCAGGCCAGCCAGGGCUACACAGAGAAACCCUGUCUCAAAACAAACAAACAAAACCCCCAGCCAAUAUGCAAAUACAUGCCCGUGUGAAACUUUAGCCCAAACACUCCCUUCCCAUGCUGCUUCCCUGUC